GAUGAACGCUGGCGGCGUGCCUAAUACAUGCAAGUCGAGCGAACAGACGAGGAGCUUGCUCCUCUGAUGUUAGCGGCGGACGGGUGAGUAACACGUGGAUAACCUACCUAUAAGACUGGGAUAACUUCGGGAAACCGGCGCUAAUACCGGAUAACAUGUUGCACCGCAUGGUUCAACAGUGAAAGACGGUCUUGCUGUCACUUAUAGAUGGAUCCGCGCCGCAUUAGCUAGUUGGUAAGGUAACGGCUUACCAAGGCAACGAUGCGUAGCCGACCUGAGAGGGUGAUCGGCCACACUGGAACUGAGCCACGGUCCAGACUCCUACGGGAGGCAGCAGUAGGGAAUCGUCCGCAAUGGGCGAAAGCCUGACGGAGCAACGCCGCGUGAGUGAAGAAGGUCUUCGGAUCGUAAAACUCUGUUAUUAGGGAAGAACAAAUGUGUAAGUAACUAUGCACGUCUUGACGGUACCUAAUCAGAAAGCCACGGCUAACUACGUG
rnacentral:rRNA from 1 species